CUGGAAAGGUUCUGAGAUGACUGU
rnacentral:piRNA from 1 species